rnacentral:rRNA from 1 species
GGAGUGAAAAAGAACCUGAAACCGUGUACGUACAAGCAGUGGGAGCACCUUCGGGUGUGACUGCGUACCUUUUGUAUAAUGGGUCAGCGACUUAUAUUCUGUAGCAAGGUUAACCGUAUAGGGGAGCCGCAGGGAAACCGAGUCUUAACUGGGCGUUAAGUUGCAGGGUAUAGACCCGAAACCCGGUGAUCUAGCCAUGGGCAGGUUGAAGGUUGGGUAACACUAACUGGAGGACCGAACCGACUAAUGUUGAAAAAUUAGCGGAUGACUUGUGGCUGGGGGUGAAAGGCCAAUCAAACCGGGAGAUAGCUGGUUCUCCCCGAAAGCUAUUUAGGUAGCGCCUCGUGAACUCAUCUUCGGGGGUAGAGCACUGUUUCGGCUAGGGGGUCAUCCCGACUUACCAACCCGAUGCAAACUACGAAUACCGAAGAAUGUUAUCACGGGAGACACACGGCGGGUGCUAACGUCCGUCGUGAAGAGGGAAACAACCCAGACCGCCAGCUAAGGUCCCAAAGUCAUGGUUAAGUGGGAAACGAUGUGGGAAGGCACAGACAGCCAGGAUGUUGGCUUAGAAGCAGCCAUCAUUUAAAGAAAGCGUAAUAGCUCACUGGUCGAGUCGGCCUGCGCGGAAGAUGUAACGGGGCUAAACCAUGCACCGAAGCUGCGGCAGCGACACUAUGUGUUGUUGGGUAGGGGAGCGUUCUGUAAGCCUGCGAAGGUGACCUGUGAGGGUUGCUGGAGGUAUCAGAAGUGCGAAUGCUGACAUAAGUAACGAUAAAGCGGGUGAAAAGCCCGCUCGCCGGAAGACCAAGGGUUCCUGUCCAACGUUAAUCGGGGCAGGGUGAGUCGACCCCUAAGGCGAGGCCGAAAGGCGUAGUCGAUGGGAAACAGGUUAAUAUUCCUGUACUUGGUGUUACUGCGAAGGGGGGACGGAGAAGGCUAUGUUAGCCGGGCGACGGUUGUCCCGGUUUAAGCAUGUAGGCUGAUUGUCCAGGCAAAUCCGGAUAAUCAAGGCUGAGGUGUGAUGACGAGGCACUACGGUGCUGAAGUAACAAAUGCCCUGCUUCCAGGAAAAGCCUCUAAGCAUCAGGUAACAUCAAAUCGUACCCCAAACCGACACAGGUGGUCAGGUAGAGAAUACCAAGGCGCUUGAGAGAACUCGGGUGAAGGAACUAGGCAAAAUGGUGCCGUAACUUCGGGAGAAGGCACGCUGGUGUGUAGGUGAAGUCCCUGCGGAUGGAGCUGAGACCAGUCGAAGAUACCAGCUGGCUGCAACUGUUUAUUAAAAACACAGCACUGUGCAAACACGAAAGUGGACGUAUACGGUGUGACGCCUGCCCGGUGCCGGAAGGUUAAUUGAUGGGGUUAUCCGUAAGGAGAAGCUCUUGAUCGAAGCCCCGGUAAACGGCGGCCGUAACUAUAACGGUCCUAAGGUAGCGAAAUUCCUUGUCGGGUAAGUUCCGACCUGCACGAAUGGCGUAAUGAUGGCCAGGCUGUCUCCACCCGAGACUCAGUGAAAUUGAACUCGCUGUGAAGAUGCAGUGUACCCGCGGCAAGACGGAAAGACCCCGUGAACCUUUACUAUAGCUUGACACUGAACAUUGAGCCUUGAUGUGUAGGAUAGGUGGGAGGCUUUGAAGCGUGGACGCCAGUCUGCGUGGAGCCAACCUUGAAAUACCACCCUUUAAUGUUUGAUGUUCUAACGUUGGCCCCUUACCGGGGUUGCGGACAGUGUCUGGUGGGUAGUUUGACUGGGGCGGUCUCCUCCCAAAGCGUAACGGAGGAGCACGAAGGUUAGCUAAUCCUGGUCGGACAUCAGGAGGUUAGUGCAAUGGCAUAAGCUAGCUUGACUGCGAGCGUGACGGCGCGAGCAGGUGCGAAAGCAGGUCAUAGUGAUCCGGUGGUUCUGAAUGGAAGGGCCAUCGCUCAACGGAUAAAAGGUACUCCGGGGAUAACAGGCUGAUACCGCCCAAGAGUUCAUAUCGACGGCGGUGUUUGGCACCUCGAUGUCGGCUCAUCACAUCCUGGGGCUGAAGUAGGUCCCAAGGGUAUGGCUGUUCGCCAUUUAAAGUGGUACGCGAGCUGGGUUUAGAACGUCGUGAGACAGUUCGGUCCCUAUCUGCCGUGGGCGCUGGAGAAUUGAGGGGGGCUGCUCCUAGUACGAGAGGACCGGAGUGGACGCAUCACUGGUGUUCGGGUUGUCAUGCCAAUGGCACUGCCCGGUAGCUAAAUGCGGAAGAGAUAAGUGCUGAAAGCAUCUAAGCACGAAACUUGCCCCGAGAUGAGUUCUCCCUGAGACUUUAAGUCUCCUGAAGGAACGUUAAAGACGAUGACGUUGAUAGGCCGGGUGUGUAAGCGCAGCGAUGCGUUGAGCUAACCGGUACUAAUGAACCGUGAGGCUUAACCUU